rfam:Triticum urartu cultivar G1812 contig1199506, whole genome shotgun sequence.
GUUGUACUCCCUCUGUCCGGAAUUACUUGUCUUGGAAAUGGAUGUAUCUAGAACUAAAAUACGUCUAGAUACAUCCAUUUCUGCGACAAAUAAUUCUGAACGGAGGGAGUAGCUU